rnacentral:lncRNA from 1 species
GAAACAUUAUGCUGAAUGAAAGAAACCAGUCACAAAAGACCACAUAUUACACGAUCCCAUUUAUAGGAGAUGUUCAGAUAAGCAAAUCCAUGGAGACGGAAUGUUGACACUAAUGGGUCGAGGCCUUCUUUUGGUGACGAUAAAAAGGUUCUGGAAUUAGAUAGUUGUGGUGAUUGCACAAUUCUGUAGAUACGUGCUUCAAAUGGCGACCUCGAGGCUCCAAGGAGGUCUUUAUGGGUUCUUGCCUUGCUGUUCAUCCUCUGGGAUUUGAAAACUGCUCUUAGUCUCUGGACAGAGUCUACUUGUCUUGCCUGGUUUGAAUCCACGGAUCAUCUGCAGAACACAGAGACCGAGACUUAUCUCCCGACCAAUGAACAUCCGCCAAAAUCUCUCCCUAUCCACAGGCCAACAAACUUACUGCUUGGACUCUGGCUGGACUCCCCCUCUUUACGCUCCUUGUUCAUCAAGACAGCCCGCCUCAAACCCGCAACGGACUUGCCUGUAGCUUGCUACAGCAUUCAUUCACUGAACUGCAAUUCUUCUGCUAGUCCUGAAUAAACUCAAUUUCUG